rnacentral:rRNA from 1 species
UCCUACGGGGGGCAGCAGUGAGGAAUAUUGGUCAAUGGGAGAGAUCCUGAACCAGCCAAGCCGCGUGAGGGAAGACGGCCCUAUGGGUUGUAAACCUCUUUUGUCGGAGAACAAAACCCGGGACGUGUCCCGGACUGCGUGUAUCCGAAGAAAAAGCAUCGGCUAACUCCGUGCCAGCAGCCGCGGUAAUACGUAGGUGGCAAGCGUUAUCCGGAAUUAUUGGGCGUAAAGAGCGCGCAGGUGGUUAAUUAAGUCUGAUGUGAAAGCCCACGGCUUAACCGUGGAGGGUCAUUGGAAACUGGUUG